AAAAAUGUAUAUAACAGUUUUUGCUUCUAAUAACCUCAGGAAUGUGCUGUUAAAAUUAUUCGGUCUCCUCCUGAUACACCGUGUAUAACCUUCGCCACGAUCCCCCAGGGUAACCUUUCUUAAAAAAAAUUCGCUACGUUUUCGUGAAUAACUGGGACGAUUACAGGUGAAGACCUGUGCGACAGCAUAGUGUCUAUCUCUUUCUUACUUACUUAUAAGUACGUUAGUGAGAAUAGAUCGAAAGUAUAAAAACGUUCAACUUAGUAGAGCUGAUCUGCUUUUUACUGAUAUCCGUGGAUAGGUAAUGUUGUCCGUAUUGCCUCCAUCUAAUACUUCUCACCCAGCAAAUGCAAAAAAUAAAUGGAGUUGUGUAGAACCACAUUAAUAAGAGUUGCGACGAUUGUAUAGUAAUAUAUUUGUGUGAAGAAUAACGCAUGUGAUAAACUUCAGAUGUGUGGAAUAAAUAUUGUGUAGAAUCGCUACUAGGUGGAAACAAUAAUGGCAUAAACAUCGCAUAAUCCA